rnacentral:misc_RNA from 1 species
ACUAGAGUUUCUCCUAGUGUUGCUGCAUCAAGUUACAAGAAAAUGGACUUAACAUGGGAUUUUAGAGAGAGAAGCAUGAAAAACAAACCACAUGAGAACUUUAGCAUGACAAAAUAUAUGUUCAAACUAACAGAAAACCGAAAAGAAAUCAUUCAAUUUCAUGUAACCCGCUAGAGGCUAUAAAAUUAAAAUUAAUAAAAAAAAUCUUUUGUUACAAGGUAGAAAUAAAUGAUAUUUAGCAACUAGAGAGAAGAAUAUCAAAUUAUCCCAAAUUCUCAAUAACAAAAGAACUAUCAUAAAUCAUAGAUUGUCAUACCUAUAUUUACAUGGACAUCA